AUGAUGGAUGUUGCAGGUUCAUUGAUGACAGCCAAGGGUUCAUGCUCGGAAACGACUACAUCUUGCUCCAUGUUGUCGGCUCAUCUAGAGUCCUUAAUCAUGAGGAGAUGGGACACACCGAUUGUUAGAGUACGCUUGACAGGUGCAUUUCGUGAAAUUCUAGUCAAAAGAUUGAUAGCGUGCUUGCCUGCUUGUUCUUUUCAGUUCAAAUAA
rnacentral:rRNA from 1 species